UGGGAUACUCACUUUCAGAGGCUUGGGAUCACCUGUUGUGAGGAAGCUCGGACCAAAGGCAGAGCCAGUAGCUCCAAGUGAGCUUUCAGCCAAAAGCCAGCAGCAACCACCAAGCACCUGAGCCAGCCUCUUGGAGACCCAGCUGGGCUGAGUCUUCACUGACUGCAGCUUCAGUCAACAUCUGAACGCAUCCUCGUGAGAGACCCUCAGUAAGAACUGCUCUGCUGAACCUGCCUUUCUUGUGGCUGGGAAGCCAGCUACCAUGUCACGAGGCCACUCUAACAUCCCCAUGAGAGAGCACCACCAGGGGAGGAACAAGGCCUCCUGCCAGCAGCCAGAGCUGCCCUUCCAGGUGUGUGCGUGGCCACCUUGGACGCAGAUCCUCCAGCCCCGGUCAAACCUUCAGAUGACUUCCGUCUCACCUACAGCCUCGAGAGGCUCCCUGAGCCAGAACCAUCCAGCUGAGCUUAUUCCUCCUCGAGUCUAGAAACUGUGUGAAAUAAUACAUGUUUAUUGUUUUAAGCUGCAAA